rnacentral:rRNA from 1 species
GACGAACGCUGGCGGCGUGCUUAACACAUGCAAGUCGAACGGAAAGGCCCUGCUUUUGUUGGUUGCUCGAUUGCCGAACGGGUGAGUAACACGUGAGUAACCUCCCCUUGACUUUGUGAUAACUUCACGAAACUGGGGCUAAUACCCCAUAUGAUCUCCUGCUGCAUGUUGGUGGUUGGUAAGUUUCGGCGGUUGGGGAUGGACUGGCGGCUUAUCAGCUUGUUGGUGUGGUAGUGGCUUACAAAGGCUUUGACGGGUAGCCGGCCUGGGAGGGUGACCGGCGACAUUGGGACUGAGAUAGGGAGCAGAAUGCUACGGGAGGCAGCAGUGGGGAAUCUGGCAGAAUGGGCGGGAGUGAGAGGCAGAAACGCCGCGUGCGGGAUGACGGGCUACGGGUUGUAAACCGAUUUCGAAGGUGACGAAGAGUGAGUGACGGUAAUGGGUAAAGAAGCACCGGCUAACUACGUG